rnacentral:lncRNA from 1 species
CUUUACUCCUGCUAUCACAAAAUCCUCUGGGUGUUGUUCACCAGCCAGAAACCUCUGUGGCUGGCGGCGCCUCUGCUUGAGUUUUGCUCGCGCCUGCUGGUCUUGUUCCACUCGAUUGGCCCUGCAGGCUGUGCUCAGAGAUACCAGCCUGGAUCCCACGCCUGCCAAGGGUGAGCCAGGCGUGGAGCAGAGUUGGGUGUGUGAGCAAGUGAGCGCAGGGUCCGGCCACUGAGCACAGUGAGGCAUGCCAGGUGCUGCGGUGGGGCAGGCAGCUCCAGGCGCUGGCACAGGCACUGGCUCUGUGCAAAGCUGUGGCUGAACCAGAGGUACCGCAAGCGGCUUUUGCUGCCAGCACCGGCGUCUGGACAAGGGGAACAUGGUGGCGCCUGAAAGCUCAGAGAUGCCAGGAAUCACAGAGCCCCCAAAGAGGGUGUUAUAGCAGGUCACAGUCCUGGCUCCGGGAGCCCUGAGGUCUGGGCUCCCAGAAGGGCUGCAGCUCUUCUCUCCUUCUCGUUGCCCACAGCAUGGGAAUCUCUGCAUAUAGCUACAAAGUCACCCAGGGAAGGACAAGCUCAUGGAGGGCUCUUUCCUGCCCAUUCGCCUCAUUUAAGUGCAGCCAUCCUUCAGGCCCUUGGUUAAGCUUCCAAGGACCCUAUGGGUCAAGGUGAAGCCAUCAGUGUCUACAGCUUCAGCUAUUGCCCGUGUGCAGAUGGUGCUUAAUCUCUCUUGUGCCUUCCAGACCUGCAUUCCAGCCACCUACCAAACCCCUUUCUGUGGAUGCCAAGAAAAGUCUUCAGACCGUGGACAAUGUGCUCUUUGCCCCUAUUAUGGAGAAAGGUGUUCCCUAGGAUGAUGACACAAGGAUUUAAUGAGUAGAAGACAACAACUUAAAACCUCUCAUUUGAGCAUGAAUUGUCUAGGUUAAAGGUAGGCAUUGAGAUCCCAUUAGCUACUGGCACACUUGGGAAAAGAAAUGUACACAUGCACAGACACACUUUAAAGCAAGACUUCAUAAAAAUACAGCGAUGCCUGUUUCUACUCAGACCCAAAAAUGGAAUUAAAGCCAAAACUUACAACCCCUCUACUAAUUAGAGAAGUAAAAAUGUCUUCACCCCAAGUGUCCCAGCACAACGUGAAACCGAAACAAGCUGCCUUUCUUUGGAUUCCACUUAUUUAUUUAUGUUUAAAAGAAUAUUUGAAGAAAAGGACGCCUAGUAAAAGAACAGUUGGAGAAAACAUGGGACACCAUACAUUGGAAGAGAAAUGUAGAUGAAGUACACAGCUACAACAGGGAUAUUUUUUUUCUUGUUGAAACACAUGAUAAUGGGCUAAUAAAAAUCUGGU